AUUAACGUUAUGCGUAAGGACGUAACCGCGAAGUUUUCGCGUGUGCCCGCGGCGUGGACAAAUUCGAAGUUUGUUCAUUUUUAUCACAAGAAAAUGUUUUUUUUUCAACGCAUUCAAGAAAGUUGUACAUAAGAAGCAAACAAGUCUAACUGUCAAAGAGAUUGUGAAGAAUCCACGAGAACAAGAGCAGUUCCCACCUGGUUUCCAUGGCAUCUGUCCAACUCACAGCAGGAAAGGAAGCAGAUCUCGGCAGUGCUGAGUUCGCCCUCUUCUGGACGGAAUUACCACCACCCAGCAAAUCACGAGAUCAUUUGGGAUGCCAGCAGAAUCAAUAUACAGACAAAAAUGUGAUUUUUUUUAAUAACUUCUCACACACUCUAUAUUGUAUUUAUAUAAAAGUUCUAAUUUAAGCUAAUUACUUUUAUGUUUCAUAAGCGUUAACAUUUUUGUUCGUUUCUAGUUAAAUGUGGCUAAGGUAACUUGAGAUUCAAUGAGUCACGUUAAAUCACUAAAAAGAACCGUUCGUAAGAGUUAUUCGUUGUCGAAUCGAACUACAUUGAUCGCGAUGAAUGUUUUUGAUUCACUAAAAACAUUAGUGACAGCACUGUUAACUAAACGUGUAACGUCGUUGGGCGCUCCGACGCAUGCAAUAAAUAAGCAUUUUACAUUUUCGCUUCUGGUUUUUGAGAGGUGAUUAUUUACAAAUGAGUUUUUAAAUAAAACCAUCUAAAUCAUUUCUCAACAGCGUCAUUCGCAAGGCAAAGCUCUGCGCAAAAGCGGAUGUUUUUUGGGGUUUUAAGAAAAACGCAUAUUCGUUAACAGCGCA